rfam:Pongo abelii chromosome 19.
GGCGCCUCCUGUUCUGCUGUGCCGCCAGCGCCUCCCCUAGCUGCGCUUUCUGGAGAGGCUUUGUGCGGACUCGGGGCUGGAGGCCU